rnacentral:lncRNA from 1 species
UGGCCCAAACAUCGGAGCCCUAAAAAUCGCCACCGUCAUAUAUAAAUAACGAUUCAGAGUUCACAAAUCCGACUCAGCCGUCGCUAGGGUUUCUCUUCAAUUUAGGAAUAAUUUCCGAUUUUCUAUAUAUAUUUGCUGUUCUUCUAUGGCGCAGCCCUUAAGAUCGCCUUCCCACUAGCAUAGAUGGAUGCGUUUUGAGUCAUAGCUGCGCUAUAUCAAUUAUAUCUGAUAUAUAAAUCCAUGACAUAUAUAUGUUCUGUAUAUAUUCACGGAUUUGUAUAACUUUUUGGGUUUUUUUUAUUGAGAAUCCCAUUUUGCUCCCUUUUUGAUAUCUUCGAGACAUUUCGCUUGUUCGGGGUUUUUAUUUUUCAUUUUUUUAAGCCUUCGGAUGAUUAUCUGUUGUGUUUUUGAAUUGUGGAAUUUAAUUUCCAAAUACUCAUUUGAAUGUCUCUGAUUAAUUUGGGGAACAUGAAUUUUGAAUGUCAGUUCUAUUCUUAUUUUGGUUCGAUGGAUUGGUUUCGGGUAAUUAAUGGGCAAGAAUGAUGAGACAAUUAGAUGAGUGAGAGGUAUACCUCUUUGAGCAAAACUCACGAUGCUUAUUGAUAUUCUGACUUUAUUGCCCAUAGUAUAACCAGCCUCCCACUCUGUACUCUUGGAAGCAUAGCCCGUGAUUUACCUUCCUCACGAUACUCCAGGACAAAGGCGGCAGGGACCCUUAAAGUUGGGUUCAACCUUUUUAUCUAUGUAUUCUGCAAAUUUAUUUAUUUAUUUAUUUGUUAUUAUUUUUUUUUUAUUGGUGAUUUGAAGUAAUUCGUUUAUGUGACUUUGGUUUAUUAAGCA